CGUGAGUGUCGAUCGCGCGACGUGGCGUUCGCUGCCGGGACGUCGCGAGAGUCCAUUGAACCUUAUCAUUUAGAGGAAGGAGAAGUCGUAACAAGGUUUCCGUAGGUGAACCUGCGGAAGGAUCAUUGUCGAAACCUGCAUAGCAGACCCGCGAACGUGUGUUUUUACCUCAAGGGUGUCUUGACUCGGGCCGGCGAAAUCCGCCCUGAGUCUUGCCCCUUCGCACGGGCGACGCUUGCGUCGUCCGGGCUAACGAACCCCGGCGCGGCAUGCGCCAAGGAAAACCAACAAAGAUGCGCCGCGCCUCCGUCUGCCCCGUUCGCGGGUGACUUCGGCGGUAUUGCGGCCUCUAUUGAAAGUCAUAACGACUCUCGGCAACGGAUAUCUCGGCUCUCGCAUCGAUGAAGAACGUAGCGAAAUGCGAUACUUGGUGUGAAUUGCAGAAUCCCGUGAACCAUCGAGUCUUUGAACGCAAGUUGCGCCCGAAGCCAUUAGGCCGAGGGCACGUCUGCCUGGGCGUCACGCAUCGCGUCGCCCCCUCCCAAUCCUUAGGGUGACGGUAAGGGGGCGGAAAAUGGCAUCCCGUGCGCUCCGGCUCGCGGCCUGCCCAAAUGCGAUCCCGCAUCGGCGGAUGUCACGACAAGUGGUGGUUGAACCUCAAUUUGCUUGUUGUCGUGACUGACACCGUCGCUUGCAAGGGCAUCAAUUUGACCCAACGGCGCCUUUAAGGUGCCUUCGACCGCGACCCCAGGUCAGGCGGGACUACCCGCUGAGUUUAAGCAUAUCAAUAAGCGGGAGGAAAAGAAACUUACAGGAUUCCCUAGUAACGGCGACGAC
rnacentral:rRNA from 1 species